rnacentral:lncRNA from 1 species
CCGGACCCAUAUUCAGAACUUGGCUCCUCGUACUCACUCUUCCUCCCAUAAACCACAGGUUCACUAUAUUCCGACCCGGGUCUUCUGCCGUAACCGGAUCCGUACUCCGAAGGGGGUUCCUCGUAAUCACUCUUUCUAACAUACCCUGAUCCGUAUUCAGAGGUGGGUUCCUCGAACUGUGGUUUCCUCCCAUGGCCGGAUCCGUAUUCAGAACUGGGUACCUCGUAUUUUGGCUCCCGCCCAUACCCGGAUCCAUACUCGGAAAAUGGCUCCUCGUACUGCGGUUUCCUACCAUAACCAGAUACAUAUUCAGAACCUGGUGCCUGGUACUCUGGUUUUCGACCAAACUCCAACCCGGGCCUCUCGUAAGUGUAACCAUAUUCAGGUCUUCCAGAUCCGAACCCUCCAGGUGGACCACCACCAUACUCGCUCCCUCCACCAGGCUGAAACCCAUAAUUAGGCCUGGGCCCAUCAUACCCAUAUCCAACCGGCGGUGGCGCUCCAGCAUACACAGGCGG